rnacentral:rRNA from 1 species
UACGUAGGGGGCAAGCGUUGUCCGGAUUUAUUGGGCGUAAAGAGCGUGUAGGCGGCCAUACAGGUCCGUUGUGAAAACUGGAGGCUUAACCUCCAGACGUCGAUGGAAACCGUAUGGCUAGAGUCCGGAAGAGGAGAGUGGAAUUCCUGGUGUAGCGGUGAAAUGCGCAGAUAUCAGGAAGAACACCCGUGGCGAAGGCGGCUCUCUGGGACGGUACUGACGCUGAGACGCGAAAAGCGUGGGGAGCGAACAGG